UGAGAUUCCAUAAAGUGCUGACCUUUCCCUUCUUCUCCUUCAGUCCAGGAGGCAUCAGCAUCGGGGUCAGAUGAGAGGCGAAGAGCCGAGGAGAAGGUCGCAGGGCGUAAUCUGGUCGAUCCUCUCUGUAUUCCAGCCAGGGCAUCUGCUCCAGGUUGUUUGGAUAUUCAUUAAGACCCCCGGCCAACUCACAGAUGGAGAUGAUGAUCUGCUGAGUCCAGAUGGUGCCUGUGAGUAAAGCAGGUUCCAGAUGUCCCUCACUGCAGCAAUGUCUCCAGUUCCUCCUGCUGUGUUCUGAAACCGUUCCCAGUUCAGCUGAUUUGCCAGCACUUCCACAUUCUGAAGUUUGGGAAGGAAGAAGACGUUUGCGUCUCUUUUAAACUCCAGGAGGAGAGGGCAGAUCUGCUGUGCAGCACCGAUGAUGACCUGAAC